rnacentral:rRNA from 1 species
GAUCAUGGCUCAGGAUGAACGCUGGCGGCGUGCUUAACACAUGCAAGUCGAGCGAAGCACUUUGGAAAGAUUCUUCGGAUGAUUUCCUUUGUGACUGAGCGGGCGGACGGGUGAGGUAACGCGUGGGUAACCUGCCUCAUACAGGGGGAUAACAGUUAGAAAUGACUGCUAAUACCGCAUGAGACCACGGUACCGCAUGGUACAGUGGUAAAAACUCCGGUGGUAUGAGAUGGACCCGCG